CCUACGGGUGGCAGCAGUGAGGAAUAUUGGUCAAUGGGCGCGAGCCUGAACCAGCCAAGUAGCGUGAAGGAUGACUGCCCUACGGGUUGUAAGCUUCUUUUAUAAAGGAAUACAGUUAGGCACGUGUACCUUUUUGUAUGUACUUUAUGAUUAAGGAUCGGCUAACUCCGUGCCAGCCGCCGCGGUAAUACGGAGGAUCCGAGCGUUGUAUGGAUUUAUUGGGUUUAAAGGGAGCGUAGAUGGGUUGUUAAGUCAGGUGUGAAAGUUUGCGGCUCAACCGUAAAAGUGCAAUUGAUACUGGCAGUCUUGAGUACAGUUGAGGUAGGCGGAAUUCGUGGUGUAGCGGUGAAAUGCUUAGAUAUCACGAAGAACUCCGAUGGCGAAGGCAGCUUACUAAGCUGCCACUGACAUUGAUGCUCGAAAGUGUGGGUAUCAAACAGGAUUAGAUACCCGUGUAGUC
rnacentral:rRNA from 1 species